UUCCACCAGCGUGUGCUCCUGAGCCUGCCUUCUUGCACUGAGCACCACACUCCUGAGCCGCGUCCUGGUCUCUGCGUGUAAGGGGGCUCCCCUCCAUCAUUUCCCGCCUCUGCCCUGCCCCCCCAGCAGGGACAUCUGACACCGGUACCGCCCACCAGCUGAUGGACUUCCCGGCAGGCUCCCAGUUCCUUAGUCUGAACCAAGUUUCCAUGAACAAUUACGUACAGGUCUUCCUGGACUUUGGCAGAAAGCAAAUGGAAUCCUGAUCAAGAAAUACAGGAAGUGAAUGAAGAGAAUCAUAAUACAAAUAAUUACAGUGAAAAUCCAUCCUUGGAUCUUCAGCAGGGUGGAGCUCUGUGUUACAGGAUUCCUCACCCGUGAGCCUCAGGCCAGGGUCGACCUGUUUUAUUCCCUUCACUGAUCCAUCCUGCGGCCACAGACACCCGAAAGCAAGGACUUCCGUCCUCCUGUAGAUGGGUGCUGAGCAGCAAGCAGCUUCCAGCUCAAGGGAGCGAGCCAGAAAGUCAGCUGAAGCCAGGGAUCUGCUCCAAGACCAGUCAGCCGCUCUGGGCAUCAAACUCAGGAGUCUGGUUAGCAAGUUAGACCAAGUCCCGUGGAACUGAGUCACGAGGGACCAAGGAUGGCUAUCAUUUGCACCCCCAGAUCAUCGCAAUCCGUCUUCCACCACAUAUGCUCCAAGUCUGGGGAUGUCUCACUCCGCCCUGAUGCCCUGGAGAGAGGCGCCUUCUUGCUGCAUUUUCUUCAUGUUUAGGCAACACAUCCCCCAUUGACUCGAUGA